rnacentral:rRNA from 1 species
GCGGAGGAAAAGAAACCAACAGGGAUUGCCUCAGUAACGGCGAGUGAAGCGGCAACAGCUCAAAUUUGAAAUCUGGUCGCCUGUGCGGCCCGAGUUGUAAUUUGAAGAGGAUGCUUUUGACAAUGUGCCUUCCGAGUUCCCUGGAAUGGGACGCCAUAGAGGGUGAGAGCCCCGUAUGGUAGGUUACUGCGUCUCUGUAAAGCUCCUUCGACGAGUCGAGUAGUUUGGGAAUGCUGCUCAAAAUGGGAGGUAAACCCCUUCUAAAGCUAAAUAUUGGCCAGAGACCGAUAGCGCACAAGUAGAGUGAUCGAAAGAUGAAAAGCACUUUGAAAAGAGAGUUAAACAGCACGUGAAAUUGUUGAAAGGGAAGCGUUUGCGACCAGACUUGUGCUCGUCGAAUCAGCCGUCGCUCGUCGGCGGUGCAUUUCGGCGGGCUCAGGCCAGCAUCAGUUCGCUGUAGGGGGAGAAAGGCGGAAGGAAUGUGGCUCUUCGGAGUGUUAUAGCCUACCGUAUAAUACCCCUCGGUGGACUGAGGACCGCGCAUCUGCAAGGAUGCUGGCGUAAUGGUUGUCAGCGACCCGUCUUGAAACACG